CUGCUCUUGCUGCAACAACACGAACCGAUCCGAGUAAGCCUAGCGGAAGAGCACCCCAACAAAAAAAAAACGGCGAAAAUUAAUAAAAAGGAAGAAGACCGUAAGGGAAAGUACGCUUCCGCGGAAUGACAAUCAAAGUAGGCAGGAAAAAAAUGUGGCACCAGUUGGAAACAGCGACGCUUGCGAAGAAGAAAAAAAUACGAUUAUCCCUACAAGUUAAAGUUAAGAACGGACAAAAAAAAAGUUAAAAAAAACGUGUGGUUGAGAAAAUGAAGGGGAGAUUAAAAGAUUCGCAAUUUGAAGGUACAAUAAGGAAGCGAAAGCACCGAACUGGUCGAGAGUGAGAGAGAGAGAGAGAAAGAGAGAGAGAGAGGAGAGCGCUUGGUGUAACAUUCAUUGUAAUGGGAAAAGUAUGACCAUCCUAUUGGAAUCUAAUCUACCAGGAACAUCCUAUGGGAAUCUCAAUUGUGCACAACUUAGGUUUCCAUUAUGUGUCGACCGAUCGUCGAUCGUGGGUUAAAUAAGCAAAGCAAUAUUCAAAACAAAUUGAACUUAUAGUGUACAUGUAAUCGAAUUCAACAUCUUUGAUCAAAAUUAUGUGAUCCUACUCUAUCUAGGAUUAAUCAGCCAUUUCUCCUUAAGUCCGGAAUUCAGUUCCGGUGAAAUUGAACGUGAAAUUUACGGGUUUUCUGCUAUUUUUCAAUAAAUUUUUAUCUGAAUAGGGCUUAUCGUGCACCAAAAGAAAUAAUAUUUAAUCCCCCAACUAUUCAGACUAUAAAUUAUUAAUAUUUACUAUUACUAUUAAUUAAAUGCAUUUCCUAGUGAUUUCCCGCUUUGUUCACGGUGAAAAAAUUAUACAUAAUAAUAAGGAAAUGC